rnacentral:sRNA from 1 species
UAAAAAUAGAGCUCAGAGUAGGCGAAAUCAUCUGAUAUUCAGGAGAAUGCAUUGGACCCAACCAAUACUAAAGCCAAUUUCAUCACAGCUCAUGCACCAGCCGGGAA